AGCCAAUGGGGAGCCGCGCGCAGGUGACGUAGAGGAGGGAUGACGAUAAUGGCUGCAGCGAGCCAAUGGGGAGUCUUGUGAGUGUGCACUACACCUUCAAGGGGCGGUGCCAGGGAGGAACUAGCCAAUACGGAGACUGGUGACCAAGAGGUGACCAAGAGGCGCCAGGCCACCAGCCCCCCUCUGGGCUUUUCCAGAAAGGCCUGAAGCCAGUCUUGCAGACGGGUUGGAGUGGACGUUGGAUGACAGAACUCUGGGUCAUGCAGGGCACUGGAAAGCCAAGGGCAGGGAGUCUCAGCCACGGCCUGUCAGGAGAAGCCCCUGGGGGCUGGUCUCCCCUGUUGACCAUUGGUUGGAGGGGGUGCCCGCUGAGGUGAGGAAAUGCAGCCGCCAAGUCUUGGACAACCUGAAACCUUCAAGACCCCAGAAGAAUCUCCAAAUCUCAGAACCUCCCUGUCAUUGCAGCCUAGAAUUUAAAACCUGAGACCGUUGUGCUCAAGGAAACCUGGCGGUUUCAAAGCCCAGCACCAAUGGAACACAGGGCCCCUAUCCUCCAGCUCUGUGAUAUUGGGCAAGUUGCCCGACUACUUCGUGCCUCCGUUUUCCCCAUCUGUAUAACGGCCAUGAUGACAAGAUGGAUCUCCAAGGGCUGUGGUGAGGAUUGAACACAAUAAUUGUGAGAAGUGUUUGGCGCCGCAUCUGGCACAUGGGAAAUCUGAGAUAAUUGUCAGCUACGGGGAUGAUGGUGGAUAUUUAGAAUCCUAAAUCCUUGGAAACUGGGACUUUUUGAAGUAGAAAAUCGUAAAGGCUGAGGGCCUCAGAAGCAUCAGGCCAUGGUGUGUCCCUGACCAUGAGAAGGUUGGGGUCCCAACGAGCCUCUCUCGGCUUUGUGAGGAUGGAUUCAUUAAUACUGGGGCCUGGUUGGGACCUUCCCCUCUGGGUCAGAGUUCUCAGGCCCUAAGAUGUAAUGAGGCAAGACUUUUCUCCCUUUCUUCACUCAGUGAUGUUCAGUGGAUUCUGGGAGCCAAUGAUUCUCAGACUCUUGGAUUCUGUGAAUUGUUGGGGGUAGGGAGGGGCUCCCUGCUUUUUUCUCCAUGAAGUAACUUCCAUGCCUCUCACCCUCUGUGAGAAGAUGGGUUGCAAGAGUAUCCAGAGCUCCCCACCCCUGGGCAGUAAGACCGUGAUGACCGUAUCAAUUCCACUUAAGGGGAAACUGAGGCCUGGACCAGAGCAAGGCCUCUGGAAACGCAGCCCUAUUCCAUUUCUUUCCCUGGUGUUUCCCAUCCACACGUAGCAUCUCAGUUCCUUUCUUCCUUUCCCCAGAGACCCUCAAAUAUCCCCUCACUCACAGAGUGGCAUCUCUCCCUGCCUGGGAUGUCCCUGUGAUUUGAGUUCUUUUCCCUUUUUUUCUAACUCUACACACUUUUGUUUUAAAAACUGUGGUUUCUCAUGAGCCCUGUUAUCUCAUUGAUACCUCUCACCUCUGUAGUGAGGGGAAGAAAUCAUAUUUUCAGAUGACUCGUAAAGGGCAAAGAAAAAACCCAAAAUUUCAAAAUUUCCGUUUAAGUCUCAUAAUCAAGAAGAGGAGAAACAGAGCGAGCGAGUGAGAGAGAGAGCAAGAGAGAAAAAACUAUGAGAACCCCCCCCCCACCCCGUGAUUAUCAGCAUACACACUCAUCGAAAAAAAAAUUGGAUUAUUAGAAGAGAGAGGUCUGUGGCUUCCACACCGUGGUUUUUCUUCUCGGUAUAAAAGCAAAGUUGUUUUUGAUAUGUGACAGUUUCCCACAAGCCAGGCUGAUCCUUUUCUGUCAGUCCACUUCACCAAGGUGAGUGUCCCCGCUCUCCCCCACCAGAUGCGGGUCCAGCGGAAGAGACGACAGUGAGGUAGGCACUGGGUUGGGGGGGUAGUCAGGGGCCCUCUGGGACCAGCAAGACGCACGCAGCAGCUCCUGUGGUCCUGGUCAGGUAAGGUAUUUUUUACAGUAAUAAUAGUAAUAACAAACGCCAGAAGACUGAUAGAUCAAGUACUUAAUCAGUGCUGAGGCAGAGGCAAAGAUAAAUAAAUGGAUCCAUGUGUGGACGGGUAGGAUUUUUUAAAUAUAUCAACUGCCAGUCUUUAUGAAUCUCAGAGCUUUGAACAACUUGAAACACUGUCCAGGUGUAACUGGAAAUUUCAGCGACGUCUCUGGCAUACCUUUGGCUCUUCUCUCUCGAUAUCUCCCGUCCCUCUCUGUCUCACUCUUUUCGUGUUUCUCUGCCCCUCUCUUUCUCUGUUUCCCUGGCACGCAGACUCUCCACCCCUCUGUCUUUCUCUGGCUCUGACCGUCUCCCCUGUCACUGUCUCCUCCAUCUUGACCACACUCCAUUUAUCUCCUUUCCUCCGUCUCUCCCACCGCCUUUCCUGCUCACUCGUCUUGCCUUCCCCCUGCCUGCCUCUCCCCCCCGACCCCCAGCCUCCAGCACAGAGCUUUGUACAGUUGGCGCUUAAUAACAGCGUGUUGAGUAAUGUCGAGGAGGACAUUUACAUUUUACAAGAAUGAGCAUCAAUUCUGUUUGCCCCGAUCGAAAGAGGACUGUGGGCUGUCAGGUUGGGCUGAGCAAUUAACUUGAACUUGCGCUUGCACCGCAUGAGGAGACCCUCCAGGGGGGCACUUCAUGCCAUUGUCAACCAUGGUUUAGCUGUGGGGUUCUACCCUCAGGACCUGGUGUUGCGGGGCAGAGGGCCAGGAUCCAUGUCCAGGAACAGAGCAGGCCAUUCAGGUCUGGGGUGACCUCGUCUCUGCAGGCUUAGCAAAUGCUCACUGAGUGUUAACUGUUAGUAUUUUUUAACCAAAUUAGAAUCAUGCUAUCUAGCUAUCUAUUGCUUUUGUUUCUGCUUUAUUCAAUGAAUAGGAGCAUUUUGGUAGGUCACUGAAAAAUGUUUCAACGUAUGAUCUUUCAUAACUGUUCAGACUGUCCUCACAUUGGUAUGAACCACGACUGGUUCGACCAAGUGCUGAUUUUUGGACAUUCAGGUUGUUUCUAGCUUUUUCGCAUAAUCAUCCCUGAUUAGUUCCUCGGAUUCCUACAAAUCGAGUGGCUAGGGCAAAGCGUUUGUGCAUUUUUAAGGUUUAUGACCCUCUCUGCAAAUUGUUCUUCCAAAAGGUUGUCCUGUUCUAUGUUCCCUCUACUCAAGCUAACCGUGGGUGGGUAUUAUCGUUUUUUAAUCCUUUCUCAACAUAACAGGUAAGAAAAAUAUUACCAUGUUGUUGAAAUUUGCAUCUUUUGAUAACUUAUACUGUUUGUUGACCAUAUGUGCUUUUUUAUUUUUCAGUUGUCUGGUCAAGUCCUUAGUCCUAAUAGGGUGUUCAUCUUUUUUAUUUAUUGAUUUGUCACAGCUCUUUAUAUAAAAGGAUAUUAACCUUCCAUCAGCCAUACAUAUAUAGCAAAUAUUUUCUCUCAAUUCAUCAUUUACUGAAGUUGUUUUUCUAUUUGUUUAUGCUGUUUUGUGAUGCUUAUGAUGUUUUUAUAUUGUCAGCAAGGUUAGUCUUUUCUUCUGUGGUUACUGUCUCUGGUUUUGUGCUUAGAAAG